CCCGUCGCUUUGAGAAGGACGCCAUGGCGUGCCGGACGCCGAGAGGUGCGAACCGCCGCCGGGCCGAAGGCCGUGGACGUCGCGUUGCUGGAGGGCAUUGUGGCUGCGACCGCCGAAGAGCGCUUCGCCGGAUGGCUGAGAUCGCCGCAUCUGAAGGCAGCGCCGGCCGCAUCGGGCUGCAGAGUUGGAUUGGCCUCUGCCUCGCGCAGAGAAGAUGCAGUUUUGGGUAUUAAUUUUCAUCUUCUUGUCUCAACACUUCCUCUCAUCUCGCCUUGAUCUCUAUGUUUGCAGAUUUUCUGUUCGGAGUGAUGUCGUUCUCGCCUCUCGGAAGAAGCGUGCCUUUUUCUGCCGACGGCCGGUAGCAGCGCUACGAGCGCUCGGGAGGGUGAAGCCGCGCAGGGCCGGGAGCCGUCGCACGCUGGGAGUCACCGGACCGGUGGGGAGCCCUAUGCAGAAGGUUCCAUUGGAUGGCGCCACUGCGUCGUGCACAAAGAGCACCACUUCGAUCCUAAAAGUCGCGUUCUUCUCGCCAUUGUUGAAGCGGUUGCCGCUGAUGGGAUUACACAUCACCGUUCUCUUUUUUCUCUAUUUGGAAUGCUUGCUGAUUCAGGGAAAAUACAAUUGGUCAAUGAAUCAGUGAUGCUAAUCAUAAAUAGACAAUCAUGUUGGCUUUC